AUUGACGGUUUUCGCGAAUUCGAUGGUUUCGGUUAGUUUUCAAAGUGAAAAAAGAUUAAUUACAAAGUAAAUAUCAAUUAAAAAAAUAAAAAUCCAAUGGAAUAUAGUAAUUUAAAUAAAAAAACACCUUUUUAAAAAACAUCUAAACGUGUGCUUAUUCAGCGUUUGCAUUUUCUCCGUUUCAACUUUUUGUGUUGGUGUGUUGUGCUUUUGUUUUGGUGUUGUUUUUGUUGUUGUUGUGACUGAGAAUAUCUAGUCAGGAGAGAGAGACAAAUGUGUUUUGGUUGUGUCUAGCUCUGUCGGUCGGUUGGGUGUUCUUUCGUAGUCCGCAAUGUAGACAAAUGACGUCAUUUCGGCAGAGCUGUGUUGGUGCUGUUGAUAAAUAGAUCUUUUUGCAAAUUUGUCCCUGUAUUGAAAUAGAAACCUUAGGGAUGCCAGCAUUAGAACUGACAGGGGGCUCAUUUUUUCAUCGUUGGAUAAAGGAUGGCUUACUGGUCGACUUGGCUACUUUUGACUAAUUUACAGUUUUAAGAACAAAUAUCUCACGCUAUCUGUCCGUAUGUCCGCCUACCGUUCGUUGUGGAAGAAGAUAAAAAGGAGCAAAGAAUAUGCUUAGCGCCAACAGAGAAGCUGCCGAAGGUAAUGAACUUUAAAUUGUUGACGCUGUGAUUUUAAGUGCCUCAACUGAUGGAUGGAUGGAUGGAUGGAUGCUUUACAUCACUCGGCCUUCCCAAUGUUAUUGAAGAGCAGAAGAUUUACCGUUCAUCGAAGAGUUUCCAUUUCAGAAGAGAUUUUUUUUCCUUUGACCACAAAAGUGAAUUUUCUUCUUUUUUCGGAUGAUGUGAAUCGUAUGAGGAGAAAAUCCAUUAAAUUGCAAUUGCAGAUUUCCGCUUCCGCAUGCGCGUUUUAUGUGUGAAGAAUGUAGGAUAAUCCGAUAAUUACACACCACAAUUCACCGACCGAAGGGACAGAACACUGGAAUUUACUUUGGGUACGUAGGCAAUUUGCUGA